AGAGUUUGAUCAUGGCUCAGAACGAACGCUGGCGGCAGGCUUAACACAUGCAAGUCGAGCGCGCCCUUCGGGGUGAGCGGCGGACGGGUGAGUAACGCGUGGGAACGUGCCCCUUUCUUCGGAAUAGCCUCGGGAAACUGGGAGUAAUGCCGAAUACGCCGAGCCAUAGCGAUAUGGUUUGGGAAAGAUUUAUCGGAGAGGGAUCGGCCCGCGUUGGAUUAGGUAGUUGGUGGGGUAAUGGCCUACCAAGCCGACGAUCCAUAGCUGGUUUGAGAGGAUGACCAGCCACACUGGGACUGAGACACGGCCCAGACUCCUACGGGAGGCAGCAGUGGGGAAUCUUGGACAAUGGGGGCAACCCUGAUCCAGCCAUGCCGCGUGAGCGAUGAAGGCCUUAGGGUUGUAAAGCUCUUUCAGCGGGGAAGAUAAUGACGGUACCCGCAGAAGAGCCG
rnacentral:rRNA from 1 species